UGUUUUCCUUUAAAGCUGCCGUUUUCUUCUAGGUGUGGAUGAGGAUUUAAAUGAAGGUAUGGUGAUCAUGUUUUCGCAGAACCAUUUCUGAUCUCUGAGUUAUUUUGCAUCUCACCAGAGGCAGCCGCACUUUACAUACUGCCACUGCAUAAGGCAAUGGCGAAUCCUGUAAAAUCAAAUGAAUUGCAAAAUCUUUUUAAAUGUGUUUCUGAUAUUUGUAGUCAGAUUGAUGAAGAAAUUGAUGAAGCAGUUAAAGGAAUAGUAGCAAGAUAUCCUGCACAUGGUAUCAAAGAGAGUGAUGUCAUAGCAGCGGAGAAAGCUGCAAAGAAAUUCCAGGAAGCAUAUGAUAAAUUUGCUGCUUUCUGCAAUUCUCGAAGGGAGUUAUACUACAAACAAAAAAUUGAACGGGGUGAUGCUCCUACUUUUUAGAUUAUCUAUCCAAGCUGUUUGAUAACAUAUCUCAUAACUGAACUAUCCAAGCUGUUUGAGAAUAUAUCUCAUAACUGAACUAUAGUUUUGCUGUGUAUAUGCCAUCAACCUGAUGUGUCUGUUAGUCUCUUAGUUUGCUGUCACUAGUCUUUUGGAGUUGUUGUCAAUAGUCACAGUUCAUGGUCUAUCGUUUCUAGUAUACUGUUGAACAAAUUAGUUAGUAGUCAUUUGUGUUAGCAAAUUUAGAGGAGAGUUGUUGAGUUCAUUUGAUCUAUAAAUAUGUACACCUCUUAAUGUAUAAAGAAACAGAAUAUUUUAUUGUGUUU